rnacentral:tRNA from 1 species
GUNGUGUAGCUCAGUUGGUUAGAGUGCCGGCCUGUCACGCCGGAGGUCGCGGGUUCGAGCCCCGUCACUCGCGCCA